rnacentral:guide_RNA from 1 species
AUCAAACUAAAUCAGUGAGAUGUCAGUAUAGAUGAACAUGAUAUU